ACCCGCCACUCCAAACCCCCCGACAGCCGCUGCCUCACGCCCGCGGCCGCCGCGCCUUUAUAAAGGGCCCUGCGGCGCGCGGCGCGCCGCCCAUUGGCUGCUGAGGAGGGCAAGGCGGGCACGUGACGCGGAGGCUGAGGGAGCGCGCGGGGGGUGGGGGCGAGGGGGCGCUGCGUGCGCGCGCACCGCGCAGGGGCGGGAAGGCGCGGCGGGGACGCGCACUGUGUCCGCGCCCUUCCCCCGGGUGUCCGUGAGGGCAGGGACGGGACCCGGGAGUUCUGCCCCGGGAAAUGGGGCCGCGGCCCUUUGCCCGGAAUGCUCCCGCCGUGCCUUGAACAGGGUGGUUUGUCUUCUCCAGAAUCGCUCCAGGCAAAGCAGGCUGCUGUGGAGCGCCAAGGACCAGGGACCUCUGCCCUGACACGGCCACACCGCUGCCCUCACUGCCGGCAAGGAAUGGCUUGGGGCAGUGGCUGUGAAGAAGGAGCAGCCCUUCCCUAGAAGGACAACGCGAUCCUGCCGCUUCCAGCCUCCCCUCCCUCUCCCCUCUCUUAGUUCCCGUCUUGUCCCUGUUCCACAUCUCUAGGGCAACGCUCAAUUUUGCAUGUCCUUCUGAGGUAUUACUCUGCUCCAGACUUACUCUUCGUGUACAUUUCCGAAUAUGGAAAGUACAUAAAUUUGACAGUAUUUUGAUUUCCUUGAUCAUCUCUCUGUUUAUAGAUGCCUGUGCUCUCACACCUUACCAUUUUUCAGGAUGCCCACUUUGCUGUGUGUUGUUGGCAGCAGAUGUUAGCAAGCCUUGAGGUGUUACAAUUAGCAUUCCCUCAGCAGCUGUAACAAAACAUGGGUUUUUGACUAUACUUACAUAUUUUCUCAGUUGGUAGGAUGUGUACAGCUAUGUACCAAAACCAGGAGAAGAAAAAAGGGAAAAUCUGCACUUAGUACCCAGAAGACUCAAGAGCUCUAAGCUCUUCUUGAAAUGUAAGAGUGUGGAAAGUACUGCCCUGUGACCCUCUGUGUGAAAACCAGCUAGAAAGAUAAAAUGAUGCCAUCCUUAGAAAUGCAAGUCUGUCAUGGUAGUGGUUGAAAUCACAGGGUAUUAAAAUUUUCAUGUAUUGGUGUUCUGUUUUGAGAAAUUUGUUUAUCCAAGAAUGGUAUGCCAUCAUUUUCACUUUGAGGCUUAUUUUAGAAGUAAAAAAAAAAAAAAAAAAGGCUUCUGAAAGAUGCCAUUAUACAUUAAAAACUUCAUUAAACAACAUGGAAAACAAAUUAUUUGCAUUCCUUUUUAACAGUACCAUAUGAUUAAAAAUAGAUUACCAGCAUGUGCUGAAAUAACAGCCAUUUACAUAAUUUUCUACUUGCAGCAAGAAUGACUGUAAGGCCCCAAGUUUGGAAAUUUUCUUACAGACUAUGUAAAGGUGCACUAUCAAGCCACCUUCUCACCUCGUCAGAAGGAAGAAGGCUGUGGGAAGACAGACCUCUGCUUGGGUGAAUUUGAGUCAUCACUCUACGAUACACAGAAAUGGGUUAGGAUGAAGUCAUCACUGAUCACCUCAUAUUCCUCUAAGCGAGGAGUUUGGAGUGGCUUCAUGUAUGACUUUCACAGAGAAUGUUGCUAGAAAUGUACCUAGAAAAAAAAUUCCACAAAAUAGUUAGCAUUUAGCACUUUUGGUCUUCAGAACAUCUUGUGCCCAUUAGUUCAAUUCUCCGUAAUUUGCUGUGAAAUUGAAAGGUUAAUGGUACAGCUUCCCUGUUUAUUGAUUUAAUUAUCCCUUUCUUCCUGAUUUAAGGCCAGGAGAGGAGCUACUUUUAGAGCUGGUCUUGGAAGUUGUAGCUCUGUCUCACAGUCUCCUGCUGAUAUAUCUGAACAUCAGACAAAAUUUGAAUUUUAAACUAUUAAAUGAGAAAAGAUUCUGGCCUAAGCAGCCAUAUAUAAAUCCCACAAAUUAAAGACAAAAUGCUAAAAUUUGGCUGACAUUUUGCUCCUCAAGCUUAUGUGAGUUUGCUGGUGUGCUGCCAGAAGUUGAAUGUUGCAAUUAAUUGGAAAGUUAGAUUUUUUCCUUCUCUUCAUCUUGCUGCUGCCAUGACCUUUUUGUGCACUUUGAGCAACAGUCCAUUUUUGCUGAUUCUAAAGAACAAAAAAAUAUUCUAAUUAAUAAAAACAUGUUGUUCCACAUUUAACAUUUUGCACCAGAGACUGAUAGAAAAGCAAUUACUUGUAACUACUUCAAGGUAUGCAAAGUCUCCCUGUUUCCCUGGAUGAAAGGAUUAUAAACGGAGUGUAACAAGAGACAUCAGUUCUUGUCUUAAUGUGCCUGUUGCCAGCAGUGGCUAAUUCUGCACUGCAGAACCAACAGGCAGCUGUGCAUUAUCACUGCAGCUAAAGUGCUGCAGUACUUACCCUAACACACGUUUCCAAAAAAAUACAUUUCCAGAGAAACACUGUUACAGGUCAUCAAAAUCAAUUUUCAUUUGAAAUCAAAUGUUUGCAAUAACCUUCUGGUUUAAAUAGGUUCUUGUUCCUGAUGUAUAAAUACUUUAUUGAUUCAUUUUUAUUGACUCAUUUUUACUGAAAGCUAGUUCAGGACCACAGGAUAAUAUUUCACUUGUUUUUGACUUGACUCCUUUAAUAUUCUUAUGACAUGCUUGCACAUAAUGUUACAGAAAUGCCGUGUUGCUCCUGUGCUUGUUGAAAAGAGCAGUUAGUCAUAAAACCUGUCUUAAAACUGAGUGCAUGGAUCAAACACUUCCCCUUGGCAGGCUGCCAUAGCAACCUGGAGAAGGAAAAAGGGGCAGAAGAAUCAUAUAAGUUUUGAGAGCAGAAAGAAAAGCCUAGCAAGGGAGAAAAUAAAGGAGACAAGCAAGGCAGGUAUGGAAUAAACAGGAAGGAUUGCACAGGACUAAACUGUGUUCUUUCCUUUUCCCAAGAGCAUUACAGAAGCAAUGACAGCAAUGUAAGUAUGGUGUUCCACAGAGCAGCAAUUUAUUUUUAGUGGAAAUCAGGAGCAUUAUGUGGCAAAAACAAAUGUGUCAGUAGAGCUCAGAGCAGAUGGAGUGCCUGCAAACAGCAGUGGCCUAUGCUCUGUGGUCUGCUUCAAAGGGAGAGUUUGGUUGUACAUUCAAGUUUUCUGCUGCCCUCUCAGGGAGUGUUUGCUGUGGGUGGUGCAUCUGUCCUGCCUCAACACAGCUGGGUUCCUGAGUACAGUGAACAUUUCUGAAGUUUUACAAUGAGCUCUGCAAAAGGUGAUUUUAAAAGAACGCCUAAGAGUAUCAACUUUACAGUAAGCCAGCAGCACUGAGAAACAGGAUUCGUCUCUCCCCUGCCCUUUCUAAAGGCAAGUCCAAUGGCAAAUCACAGACAAUUGCUUGCAGUGGGUAUUUUGCUGUCACUGUGGGAUUCACGGGUAGUUUAAUUUAUUUUAUCUCCCCUGGAUGCCCUUUGUAUCUGCACUUAUAAUUCCUUUCUGAAAUGAAGCAAUGGGUCUGACUCAUUCAACAGUUCAGAUCCAACUUCCUAGACUCAGAGAGUAAUUGAGGUGAGACAGGACCUGCUGAAAGCAGGGACACCUUCAAAGCUAGGCCAGGUUGUUCAGGCACUUGAUCAGUCCUGUUUUGGACAUCUUUGAGGACUGAGGUUCUCCAGUCUGCCUGGGCCCCAGCUCCAGUAUUUCACCACUUUCAUUUUAAAGAUUUUUAAUUUUUAAGUUAAUCAGAAUCUUCCAUGUUAAGCUUGCGUCUGUUCUUUCUUGCCCCUCAGGACUUCUUUGUGCCAUCCUAUAUGUUGUUGUGCACUAGUUUCCACUCUUCACCUGGGCUGGUUUUUCAGGGUCUGGUAUCCAGUUUGGGGAAUACAGCAUUUUGACAGCUUGAUGAAGUAAAGGAAAUUCUGUAAAAAAAUAAUUUUUUGGCCAGCUUCAAGAAUGAUACUUAGGACAUUAUCAGUGUCUGGCUAUGAGGAAGUAGUUUCAGGAUAUCAGGAAGCUGGAUCCAGCAAUUACUGUGGUUUUGAAGGGUCUGAUCCCUUUUCCAGCUGUAGUCCAUAAUUUUUCAUAUUUCCUUGUUACUGUCAUUUUAAAAAGUAACUACAUUUGCAGUUAUAAUGGCUGCCAUACAAAAGAUUCAACAGACUUCAGGGGAAAUAGUAGAGAUUGACAUUGGGAGGGGAAUCUGCCUGCAUUUUUCCGUAGAGAGAAUAGCUUACACUUUUCAACAGAUAAAAUAUUGUUUACCUAAUGCUGCUGGAGCAAUGAUUUCCUGGAUUC
rnacentral:lncRNA from 1 species